AAGAACUGUUUCUAAGCACUUUAUUUGUGUUUCUUUUGAUCCUCACAACUCUAUAAAGUGGGUACUAUUUAUAUCCCUUUUAUAACUGAAGAACAAAGACAGAGAUUAAGUAAUGUGGCCAAGGUCUGAUUUCAGUUCUUACUUCUCAGGACAUUUUGGGAGCAAGUGUUGGCACCUACAUCUCAGCUCUGGGGAUCUUGAGUUAUAGCAGGGCCUCUCAUUUUCCCAUUUCUCAUCCCCAGGUGGGGGCCAAGCAGCUGGUUCCAGCAGCUGGGAAUUAGCUGAUCCACACACAGAGGGAGUGAGCCACGGGACACUCCUAGGCCCGGCAAAUGGAAGCUCAAGUAUAUCAGACGUUCCAUGUGCUUGGGCAUCUCAGCCUGCCUACACGUGUGUGUGCCUGUGAAGAUGGACAUUUAUUAUUACAUGGCUUCAGUGUCAUCUUGAAAGAAAAUAGAACCCCGUAAGAGAAAAGUUGUGGAUAUUGGAGGCAUGUUCAAUGAAAAAUGUACAGAUGAGUACUUUUUUUGUCAAGAUAAAAAAUAAGGCACUAUGCUUAAUUUGUAGGGAAAUUGUGUCGGUUUUCAAAGAUUAGAAUCUGAAAAGAUGUUAUAUGCAAAAAAUAUGCCACUUAAUCUGAUGGCUGUCAAGGAAUGCUUGGUAAAGACAAAAUAGCUGUGAACUGAAAAAGCUUGUAAUCUCAACACAUUUUAAAAAAAGUUUUCUAUUAUAAAAGCUAGUUAGAAGAAGAUCAAAAUCAUUUAUUGAUGGCAAAUUUACUAAGCAAUGUGUGGAAAGCAUGGCAGAUAUAAUUUGUCUGCAUAAAAAAAUGGCUUUUUCUAACAUCCGUUUGUCUCACCAGACUAUAGCCAGGGAAUUGAAGAAAUAGAAAAACAAUUAAAAG
ensembl:lncRNA